CUCAUCCGCUUCUGCUGUCCCAAGAUGACUUUCAGCCCAGGUCAGCCCAGCUGGGACUUGAACCCACAGCCCCACUCAUGUGCAGGCCUUCAACUCAAACUGGAACCACAACACCGGCUCUCCUAGGUCUCUGGCUUGCAGAUGGCAGAUCGUGAGGCUUUUCAGCUUCCAAAAUCAUGUGAGCCAACUCCUCAGAAUAAACUUCUCUCUUUCUCUCAUGUAACCACACACAUAUAAACAUGCAUGUGCGUGUUUUCCUGCCCUCUCAUCUCUGCUCCGUUGACUUAUUUCGCUAUUCCUGCUUCAUUUACUCUAGUUUUCUUAGGCAUGUCCAUUAACGCAGCUUGUCCUUCUUCGCUUUUUAAAAUAGACUUUACUUUUUAGGGAAGGUUUAGGUUCACAGUAAAAUCAAGCAGGCAGUACAGAGUUCCCAUGCACCCUCUGCUCCACCACAAACAUGCAGCCUCCCUCACCAUCAACACCCACACCAGAGUGGCCCAGGAAAACGUGUACACAUGUGUACACACACACACACACACACACACACACACACACAGCAUGUCCACAGGUGGAGGUGUGUGGGGAGGAUGUUCCGGGCCCAGUGACAGCACGAACACAUGAACCCAUCCAUCCAUCCAUCCAUCCAUCCAUCCAUUCAUCCAUCCAUCCAUCCAUCCACCAAUCCUCUUGGCUCUGCUUCUCUGGAGAGCACUGUGCACACAGAUGCACACAGAUAUCUUCACUUGGUCUUCAACCCCGGAGCACAGGCAGUGCAAUGGACUAAAGAUAGCCUUUUCAACAAAUGGUGCUGGAACAACUGGACAUCCACAUGCAGAAAAAACAAAUGAAUCUAGACACAAACCAUAAAACCUUCAUAAAAAUUAACUCACAAUUUAUCACAGACCUAAAUGUCAAAUGCAAAACUAUAAAACUCCUAGAAGGUAUCGCAAGAGAAAAUCUAGAUGACUUAGGAUUUGGUGAUGUUUUUAAAGUACAACAUCAAAGGCUGAUCCAUGAAAAAAUAUCAGUGAUAAGCUGG
rnacentral:lncRNA from 1 species